rnacentral:tRNA from 1 species
UAGCUCAGUGGGUAGAGUGCUUGCCUUGCAUGCAUAAGGCCCUGGGUUCAAUCCCCAG